AAUUCUCAACUUCAAAAAAUCAUUGUAUUUAUUUGAAGCUUGGACUAUGGAGGCUUGCCGGCUGAAAAUAUGGUCAGCUCCUCUUAAAUGUAUUAGCAGAACCUUGUAAAAAAGGGACUGGCUCCAGUUUGAUAAUACUAUCUAUGCUGUUGCUUGAUUUUGACCCUUGUGUGUUCAGCUUCUAAUGGUCUUUUUAGACUGUCUCUAUUGAGGCAUACACUUUUAA
rnacentral:misc_RNA from 1 species